rnacentral:rRNA from 1 species
UACAGGGGGGGCAAGCGUUGUUCGGAAUUACUGGGCGUAAAGGGCUCGUAGGCGGCCAACUAAGUCACACGUGAAAUCCCCGGGCUUAACCUGGGAACUGCGUGUGAUACUGGAUGGCUUGAAUUCGGGAGAGGGAUGCAGAAUUCCAGGUGUAGCGGUGAAAUUCGUAGAUAUUCGCAAGAACACCAGUGGCGAAGGCGGCUCACUGGCCCGGUACUGACGCUGAGGUGCGAAAGCGUGGGGAGCAAACAGG